rnacentral:rRNA from 1 species
GACGAACGCUGGCGGCGUGCUUAACACAUGCAAGUCGAGCGAUGAAGUUUCUUCGGAAAUGGAUUAGCGGUGAACGGGUGAGGAACACGUGAAGAAUCUGCCCUCCACUUUGGGAUAACACCGGGAAACCGGUGCUAAUACCGAAUAUUGAAACAUAAGUGGCAUCACUGAGUUUUGAAAGAAUUUCGGUGGAGGAUGACUUCGCGGCCUAUCAGCUAGUUGGUGAGGUAAUGGCUCACCAAGGCAACGACGGGUAGCCGGCCUGAGAGGGCGACCGGCCACACUGGGACUGAGACACGGCCCAGACUCCUACGGGAGGCAGCAGUGGGGAAUAUUGGGCAAUGGAGGAAACUCUGACCCAGCGACGCCGCGUGCGGGAUGAAGGCCUUCGGGUUGUAAACCGCUUUCAGUAGGGAAGAAGCGAAAGUGACGGUACCUACAAAAGAAGCACCGGCUAACUAUGUGCCAGCCGCCGCCGUAA